GUACUUACCUGGCAGGGGAGACACUAUGAUCAGGGAGGUGGUUUUCCCAGGACGAGGCUCAUCCCCUGCUCUCCAGUGUGCUGGCCCCUGUAAUUUCCCCAAAUAUGGGAAACUCAGCUGCAUAAUUUGUGAUAGUGGGGGGACUGUGUUUGUGCUAAACUACC